rnacentral:rRNA from 1 species
UCUGCUUAAUAUAGGACCUAAUAUAGGACCUUUAUCUUGUCUGAUCUGGAAAGCUAAGCAGGGUUUGGUCUGGUUAGUACUUGGAUGGGACACUGCUGAGACUACCGGAUGUUAUAGAC